CAAUACCGGGUGGCGACCGGCGCACGGGUGCGUAACACGUAUCCAACCUGCCGAUGACUCGGGGAUAGCCUUUCGAAAGAAAGAUUAAUACCCGAUGGCAUAGUUCUUCCGCAUGGUAGAACUAUUAAAGAAUUUCGGUCAUCGAUGGGGAUGCGUUCCAUUAGGUUGUUGGCGGGGUAACGGCCCACCAAGCCUUCGAUGGAUAGGGGUUCUGAGAGGAAGGUCCCCCACAUUGGAACUGAGACACGGUCCAAACUCCUACGGGAGGCAGCAUG
rnacentral:rRNA from 1 species